CUACGGGUGGCUGCAGGCGCGAAACCUUUACAAUGUACGUAAGUGCGAUAAGGGAACUCUCAGUGCUCAUGUAAUGCAUGGGCUUUUGUUAAGUGUAAAUAGCUUGGCGAAUAAGUGGUGGGUAAGACGGGUGCCAGCCGCCGCGGUAACACCUGCGCCACAAGUGGCAUUCACGUUUACUGGGCCUAAAGCGUUCGUAGCCGGAUAGGUAAGUCUUAAGUGAAAUCGUUGCGCUUAACAAAACGACGUGCUUGAGAUACUGUUUAUCUUGGAACCGGGAGGAGUUAGGGGUAUUCCAGAGGGAGCAGUAAAAUGCUAUAAUCUCUGGAGGACCACCUGUGGCGAAGGCGCCUAACUAGAACGGGUUCGACGGUGAGGAACGAAAGCCAGGGGAGCAAAACGGAUUAGAUACCCGCGUAGUC
rnacentral:rRNA from 1 species